rnacentral:rRNA from 1 species
AACGAACGCUGGCGGCAUGCCUAACACAUGCAAGUCGAACGAUACCUUCGGGUCUAGUGGCGCACGGGUGCGUAACGCGUGGUAACCUGCCCUUAGGUUCGGAAUAACUCCCCGAAAGGGGUGCUAAUACCGGAUAAUGUCUUCGGACCAAAGAUUUAUCGCCUUUGGAUGGGCCCGCGUUGGAUUAGCUAGUUGGUAGGGUAAAAGCCUACCAAGGCGACGAUCCAUAGCUGGUCUGAGAGGAUGAUCAGCCACACUGGGACUGAGACACGGCCCAGACUACUACGGGAGGAAGCAGUGGGGAAUAUUGGACAAUGGGCGAAAGCCUGAUCAAGCAAUGACGCGUGAGUGAUGAAGGCAUUAGGGUUGUAAAGCUCUUUUAAACGGGAUGAUAAUGGCAGUACCGGGAGAAUAAGCGCCGGCUAACUACGUG